CUGUGAUAAUAACACUGUAUCCGCCUGGGUUGUUGAGGUAACAACCACACAAGUUUAUUGUGAUCCAGCUUGGAAAUCCUGUAUCUUUCGGGCAUCAUUUUUCUCCUGAAAACUGAUGGCCCUAACAUCAGAGACGAUGACAGAGAUAUGUCUAGACCUGGACUGCUUCGACGAGGAGAGGAAACUGUACUCGGCAGAAUCACUGAAUGACCUCCACAAGAUGAACGUGUGCUCUGACCCCAAGGACCUGCUGAAACUCACAGAACAGCCAAUGAGCUCUCAGACCACACCCACUGCUGGGGAAAGAAGAGAUACAGGAGGCCAGGGUGAAUUGGAAGACACCUGUGAGUGAGCAGCACGAGCCAGCUAGCGCUCUGGCAGUGGAGCCAACGCCUCAGCGGGAACCCAACUUUAUCUCCUCUUUAGAAACAUUGCCUAGGAGCCCAAAACACAGCCACUCUGACAGGAAGGGAGAGAUAAAGGGCCAAUACUGGAGUUUACCUAUAUCAUGUGCUGAACACCCUUUCAUUCCCUUAAUAUGCUGGUGAGUGAGAAUAUUCUGUACCCUUUCGUAGCCUUCUUACACUGGUUAAUAAAAACAUUAUUA
rnacentral:lncRNA from 1 species